CCAGUUGGCCGGACGGCCGCGGGCCGGUGCGCAAGCGCCGGCGCGAGGAAAGUCCGGGCUCCAUCGAAAUGCGGUGCCGGCUAACGGCCGGCGGGGGCGACCCCAGGGAAAGUGCCACAGAAAGCAAACCGCCCGGCCUCGGCCGCGGCAAGGGUGAAAGGGUGCGGUAAGAGCGCACCGGGGGACUGGUAACAGGACCCGCAUGGUAAACCCCACCGGGAGCAAAACCAAAUAGGGACGACGCGAGGGCAACCUCAGGCCGGUUUCGAGGCUGGUCGUCCGGGUUGGUUGCUCGAGCUGCGGCGCAAGCCGUCGCCUAGAGGAAUGGCCGUCACGUCCGCGUCGCGAGGCGCGGGCCAUACAGAACCCGGCUUACAGGCCAACUGGCAAC
rnacentral:RNase_P_RNA from 2 species